UGGCGGCGUAGCUCAGUCGGUAGAGCGGGGGACUCAUAAGCCCUGUGUCACUAGUUCGAUCCUAGUCGCCGCCAU
rnacentral:tRNA from 1 species